GAUGAACGCUGGCGGCGUGCCUAAUACAUGCAAGUCGAGCGAACGGACGAGAAGCUUGCUUCUCUGAUGUUAGCGGCGGACGGGUGAGUAACACGUGGAUAACCUACCUAUAAGACUGGGAUAACUUCGGGAAACCGUAGCUAAUACCGGAUAAUAUUUUGAACCGCAUGGUUCAAAAGUGAAAGACGGCUUUCCUGUCACUUAUAGAUGGAUCCGCGUUGCAUUAGCUAGUUGGUAAGGUAACGGCUAACCAAGGCAACGAUGCAUAGCCGACCUGAGAGGGUGAUCGGCCACACUGGAACUGAGACACGGUCCAGACUCCUACGGGAGGCAGCAGUAGGGAAUCUUCCGCAAUGGGCGAAAGCCUGACGGAGCAACGCCGCGUGAGUGAUGAAGGUCUUCGGAUCGUAAAACUCUGUUAUUAGGGAAGAACAUAUGUGUAAGUAACUGUGCACAUCUUGACGGUACCUAAUCAGAAAGCCACGGCUAACUACGUG
rnacentral:rRNA from 1 species